GCGCCGCUGGUGUAAUGGCAUAGAGCAUUCCUGCUCGGCCAGCAGGAAGUGCGGGUUUGAAUCCCGCCUGGCGCU
rnacentral:tRNA from 1 species